CUGGCUCCGCCUCCGUCCUGGCCGUGAGGAGCCGGAACGGGCCCCCUGAGUCCGCGUUUGCGCAGAGCAGCGUAUCCUCGCGGGAGCGAACCCGGGGCGCCACACGCCUCUGCCCGCGCUAGGCCAGGCGGGUCCGUGCCCGGGGCAGAGCGACCCCCUCCUCGCCGGGCCAGUGUGGUGGAGGGGCGUGAGGCUUGGCGGGGACGCGCGGUGUCGUUGGCGGGAGGCAGCACCAGUACCGAGUUUUGUCAUUUUUUUCUCAUGGAAUAGGUGGACAGGAGUCUUGGGACCUCCUCUGUAUCUGAGGUGUAAGCUGUGUGGGACUGAAGGCCUGAGUCCAGCACUCCCAGGGCAUCACUUUCUUGUUCACAAAGGCCACUGCUGUGGACUAGACCUUCAAUACUAACUCAGCGAGAAGAUCCACCUGGAACAAACUGGUCUUCAACCACUACCUUCCUCAAAGAACAAAAUAUAAACGCAUCAAGUUUUGCCUCCACUGGCUCUUCAGUGGAAAAUUCUAUCACCAGCUGUUUUUCUACAUAUUAAAAUGGAAUAAUCUGAGACUAAAACCAGUCAAGCAACUCCUCCAGUUUUAUGCAUGCAUUACUCUCCUGUCACAACCAUGCCACAGAAACUGAUGAAAUACUGUGGUAUUAAACAGACUGUACCUCAAAUGAGCAAUUUUCUAGUACAAUAAAGGUGUAAGUACACCAGGUUCAGUUUAAGUACAAUUAUGUUUCAUUAUUCAAUAAGGGUUUUAUUAUUUGUAUUGUAGUGCCUACGGAUGCUAAUCGAGGUCCAGAGCUCUACUGCACCAGAUGCUAUGCAGACUGAGUAAGAAGACAGUGUCUAUCCCAAAUAGCUCAUGUCAUGGCAAAGACCCCCAAAAAAGGCAGAUGAAAAGCAAAUGGAGGGGGGGCAGGAAGAGGGAGAAAAAACGACACAACAAGAAAGGGUAACAGGCAAGUGAGUUAUUGCACACAAAAAUUAUCACCUUACUGCAAUAUGCUUAAGCUCCCCAUCAUUUUCAAAUUCCAAGUCUGAUAUUCCUGAAUAACUAUGCCCUAAAGAAAAUGCUUCUGAAUUGAUGUUAACAUUGACAAAUAGAUAGUAUAUAUAGAUAUUACAUAAAAAAUACAUUAAAAGAAUAGUAAGGUUGCAAAGUAAAGCAUUCUUAAGUUAGAAAAUGCCAGGAUUAAGGUUGCCCAUGCAUCUUCAACUCAGCCCCCUCACAUUAAAAUAGUCUUUAAUCACAUGAUCACACACUCUUUUUCUACAAAAUAUGCCAGUAAGUCUUUGAAGUAUCCACAAAGAUGCAUAAGCCUUACAAAAUCAUGCAGCCUGCUCUCUACAGUUCACUCACUGAAGACUCCAUCAUCAUGACAUUUAGCCAAUCUUAAAAAUAAUUUAAAUGCAGAUUUGGCUAGUUUUAGGAAGGUGUGGUUUGUGUAGCAGGGAUUCAGCAAUAUCUUCCUCUCAAUGACCACUACAGAGCCCGCUGCUGAAAAUAGCAUUCAGGUCCUGAGGAUGUCCUGGUAAAAGACAGACAACGCGGAGAUGUCUUGGGGAAGACCUCUUGGAUGGAGAAGAAAAAGCUGCUGGUCAUAUCACAGCCCUUGGAGGUGGUGGAGGAAGGCAUGCACUGGCACACGCCAUGCCAGACUAUAAGCACUGUAUGAGUCUCUGCAGGCCUGAAGGUGGCUGUGAAUCUUUAUCGUUUACCGAGUUUGUGUUACUGCAGUUUUUUCACUUGUUUUUUCCAUAUUGGCUCUUUCUAUAAAUGGUCUUGAUAACAGGUGUUCAGUUCCUUAUAUCAUGACUUUCAUACAAAUGAUACUAAGCAUUUUACUCUCCAGUUCCCCUGGUUCCUCCUCACUAUUUUUUCUGUUUAUAUAGUAGUUUAAGGUUUUAUUCCAGACAGUCUGCAUCAAGCUGUUUUUGUUCUAGUGACCCCUUUAGUGAUACAGUCUGAGUAUAAUGUUUCAGGGUACUUUAAUAGCAAUUUCCUUCUCUAUGCCUUCCUUGUCUUGAGAUCCUCAAGAGCAGCCAGGAUGCUGAUUUCUCACCAUGAGUCCUUGUUAUGGAGAGUGCUGAUAAUUUAUUCAUUGCUGAAUUUUGUUGUUAACCAUCUUUCGCAAUGGGUGAGAGAUGGGCAAUUUAGAUUAGGGAAUCAUUUAAAAACAAAGGGAAAACAAAUCUCCAUGAGGCACUGCAGAAAGCAUCAGUGGACAUCUUGCUUUCACUGCAAAAUCAACUCAAUUAUGACUCAAGUUUUGCCCUAAUUUGAAUCCCACACACACAGCUCAGCUGUGGUGCUGCUUGUAACUUAAGUUGGCUGGCCCAUCAGCAAGCAGAGGCUAAAGCUAGAAUUGCCAGCUGCUAACAUGAGCAUUCUGCAUCGUGGAUACAAGCUAGCUCCACUUGACUGACUAGUUCAUUAUUUGUAUUGCUAUAGUGCCUAGAAGCUCUAGGAUAGACCAGGACCUCCCUGUGCUAGGCAAUAUACAAACAUUACAAAAAGAGACAGGCCCUGCCCCAAAGAACUUACAACCUCCAAUACCUUUGCAAAAUUCCCCUCAUAUGCCCAGAACACACGGACAAGUUCUCCCACAAUUCACUGGGAAAGAAUUAAUAGUUUUAGUGCCAGACAUAAGUGAGUGCAGCACCAGUGUGGACGCAGCAUCUUGGUGCUAUUUAGCAGUGUGGGCACUCUCACUCAAGCUAGGCUCGCUCAAGAAAAACAAGCAUAGAACAUUUGAGCUAAUUCAGUAGUGAAGACAUACCUUGAAUAAGUCCCCUCCCAUCCCCACUGAACACCAAGGGGGUGUGAGGUAGCUAAGAGCAAGGGAUCCCACCAUCACCUCUUCAUCAUCUUCUUUCCGCAGACGAGGAAGGGGCAGUUGAACCACACCACUGCUUUGACCUCCUCCAAGAUACAUCUCACUUUUUUGACAGCACCCAGACUUCCUUCAGCAGCCUCAGCCCCAACCCUAACCUGAUUGAAGGAUGGCUACUAACCCCAGCCCUGUGAGAUUAUGUCAUGCCACAAGCUACAUGGUCUCUGCACCAAUGGAACGCCAUAAGGCCUCAGUGGGAAAAUGGUGGGAGUUCUAUUUUUCCUACCAAAGAACCAUGCAACAAGAGAACAUGUACAAGAUGUACAUGAAACAUGUACAAGAGAGACUGGAAAAAUGGCACAAUGGUAUCGCCUGAGGUUCAUCCAAUAUGGCCUCAGAAAAUGUACUGUAUUGACAUGUGCCAUAAUAUGUUCAAAACUAUCAAGGAGGUUUCUGGAUAGUAGUAGCUCAUACCAGUUACAACCUGGUACCUAUGCGAGUAUUACUGUGCCAACUACAGGCACCUUUUGGAAACAGUGGAAGCAAGACAACAGAGCUGCCAAAACUCAACACACUAUUUUGAACAGAGAAACAAGAACACUGUGGGGCUGAAUCCAGCUGACCCACUAUAUCUUUUCACAGGCAAGAAGCCAGUCAACCCACUAUGCUAAUGUUUUCCCUUGACCCAGGUGACUUAACAGAUAGCAACUGCAAUUAGCUCAGUCCAGCUAUUAAAGAUAUUAAAGCAUCAAAUGCAAUGCUCCCCAUUUAUUAAAGUGGCUUUGAAAAUUAAAUUGUUUCAGAUGAAAUCGACUACAGUGGAACAUAUAUAUCAGUGCACCAAAUCCUCCUCUGCAACCCAGAUUGUGAUGUGCUAAUUCAAAUGCUAAACCUUAUUAUUCCUGUUAUUCUGCAGCCCCUCCAUAACCAUGCAGAGACAGGUAAAACCUGAGAGACACAAGGCAGGUGACAGGUAAAACCUCGUCAGCUGCUUUUGCAUUCAAAGUAUAAUUUCAAACAGUGGUUCUUAUCCUUUACUGCAGCCUGCAUCCCCCUUUGGUUCUCAAAAUACGUUCUCGCACCCCUUAAACC